AGACGUCCCCUUCGGGCGCAGAAUGACAGGUGGUGCAUGGUUGUCGUCAGCUCGUGUCGUGAGAUGUUGGGUCAAGUCCCGCAACGAGCGCAACCCUUGAUCUUAGUUGCAAGCAAUCAGUUGGGCACUCUAAGGUGACUGCCGGUGACAAACCGGAGGAAGGUGGGGAUGACGUCAAAUCAUCAUGCCCCUUAUGAACUGGGCUACACACGUGCUUCAAUGGACAGAACAAAGGGCAGCGAAACCCCGAGGUUAAGCCAAUCCCACAAAUCUGUUCUCAAUUCGGAUCGCAGUCUGCAACUCGACUGCGUGAAGCUGGAAUAGCUAGUAAUCGCGGAUCAGCAUGCCGCGGUGAAACGUUCCCGGGCCUGGUACACACCGCCCCUCUCAAGACGAGAGUUUGUACACCCGAAGUCGGUGAGGUAACAAUUAGAACCAGCGCGAAAACAAAGACGAGUUUUCCCCUAAGCC
rnacentral:rRNA from 1 species